GCCAAAUCAAGCCUUUUCUUCUUUGUUGAGCCUGCUGUAUAUACAAAAUCUAUCACACUAUAUAUAGUCAUUUUUAAGCUGUAUAUCAGCCUAAUUUCUUCAACAUCUUGUACGUUCUCUCCUUUCUUUUCAGUAUUCUGCUGCGUUUACCCUUUAUUACAAUAUUUUGCCCCGUAUACCAGUGUAUACAACAGGUAUGCAUCACAUAUGUAGCCCCUUUUUUAGGCUUUAGGGACUUGAUAAGUCAACUUCCAGCCAUGUAUGCCUUUCUCGACACCUGUUCAUCAAUUUCAAGGGUCGGCCGACUCGAAGGAAAGGGUUGAAGCCUUCGUGUCUCUCACGAAAUGCGGGAAAAGGAAAAUAGGAGUUCAUGGUGAACUCAGGCAGAUUUACAUGGAACAAAAGAAUGAGGAAAAGAAUUAGCAAACAAACAUAAUAGGAGCAAUAACGUAUCUAAAACCAUUUAUCGUAACAACAACUGAAUUAAUAUGCAGCAAAUAACUCGCUUCGACCAAACAGUGAAGAUCUAAUGGAGGAAUACAAAUUCUAAUGAUACUAACAACCCAAAUCAUACCAAUGACAAAAUAAUGACUACUUACAAUCAACAACAAACAUAUACCCUCCAACGAAUUUAAUAAAAAAAUUGCCUAUUAACAAGUAGUACUAACUGUUAAGAGCAAAAUCAAUCAAAUUCAAU
rnacentral:misc_RNA from 1 species